rnacentral:rRNA from 1 species
CCUGGCGGCUUUAGCGCGGUGGUCCCACCUGACCCCAUGCCGAACUCAGAAGUGAAACGCCGUAGCGCCGAUGGUAGUG